rnacentral:rRNA from 1 species
AACGAACGCUAGCGGCAUGCCUCAAACAUGCAAGUCGUACGAGAACGUGCCUUCGGGUACUAGUAAAGUGGCGCACGGGUGCGUAACACGUAGCUAACGUACCUCCUCGCUGGGGAUAACUCCGGGAAACCGGAGCUAAUACCGAAUGAGCUGCGAGAAUCUGCGGAUUCUUUCGGCAAAGCUUCACGGCGCGAGGAGAGCGGGCUGCGGCCCAUUAGUUUGAUGGUGAGGUAACGGCUCACCAUGGCGACGAUGGGUAGCUGGUCUGAGAGGAUGAUCAGCCACACUGGAACUGGAACACGGUCCAGACUCCCACGGGAGGCAGCGGUUGGGAAUAUUGCACAAUGGGGGAAACCCUGAUGCAGCAAUGCCGCGUGAGGGAUGAAGGCUCUCGGGUCGUAAA